rnacentral:rRNA from 1 species
UACAGAGGUCUCAAGCGUUGUUCGGAUUCAUUGGGCGUAAAGGGUGCGUAGGUGGCUUGGUAAGUUGAAGGUGGAAUCUCGGAGCUCAACUCCGAAACUGCCUUCAAUACUGCCGGGCUCGAGGACUGUAGAGGAGAAUGGAAUUCACGGUGUAGCAGUGAAAUGCGUAGAUAUCGUGAGGAAGACCAGUGGCGAAGGCGAUUCUCUGGGCAGUUCCUGACACUGAGGCACGAAGGCCAGGGGAGCAAACGGG